UACGUAGGUGGCAAGCGUUGUCCGGAUUUACUGGGCGUAAAGAGCUUGUAGGCGGUUUGUCGCGUCUGCUGUGAAAUUUCGGGGCUCAACCCCGAACUUGCAGUGGGUACGGGCAGACUAGAGUGUGGUAGGGGAGACUGGAAUUCCUGGUGUAGCGGUGAAAUGCGCAGAUAUCAGGAGGAACACCGAUGGCGAAGGCAGGUCUCUGGGCCAUAACUGACGCUGAGAAGCGAAAGCAUGGGGAGCGAACAGG
rnacentral:rRNA from 1 species